rnacentral:rRNA from 1 species
UACGUAGGGCGCGAGCGUUGUCCGGAAUUAUUGGGCGUAAAGAGCUCGUAGGCGGCUUGUCGCGUCGUCUGUGUAAUCCCGCGGCUCAACCGCGGGUCUGCAGUCGAUACGGGCAGGCUAGAGUUCGGUAGGGGAGACUGGAAUUCCUGGUGUAGCGGUGAAAUGCGCAGAUAUCAGGAGGAACACCGGUGGCGAAGGCGGGUCUCUGGGCCGAUACUGACGCUGAGGAGCGAAAGCGUGGGGAGCGAACAGG